CUAGUCUUAUCGGUGGAUCACUCGGCUCGUGGUUCGAUGACGAACGCAGCUAACUGCGAUAAAUASUGCGAACUGCAGAAACACUGAGCACGAAAGCUUCCAAUGCACAUUGCGCCAUUGGAGUCACUUCCWAUGCCACGCCUGGUUCAGGGUCAUU
rnacentral:rRNA from 1 species